CAGCAGCCACGGGAAUACGAAGGGGGCUAGCGUUGCUCGGAAUGACUGGGCGUAAAGGGCGCGUAGGCGGAUUGUUUAGUUAGGCGUGAAAUUCCUGGGCUUAACCUGGGGACUGCGCUUAAUACAGGCAGUCUAGAGUGAGGAAGAGGGUUGUGGAAUUCCCAGUGUAGAGGUGAAAUUCGUAGAUAUUGGGAAGAACACCGGUGGCGAAGGCGGCGACCUGGUCCAUUACUGACGCUGAGGCGCGAAAGCGUGGGGAGCAAACAGGAUUAGAUACCCCUGUAGUCCCUGUCUCUUAUAC
rnacentral:rRNA from 1 species